AGGCAUGAGCCUCGGUCUUUCUUAAAAAAAAAAAAAAAAGAGUGUAGUUAUUUUGAGAUUUACCCAUUGUAAUCGGGUUGUUGCAUACACCAACAGUUCAAUCAUUUUUCUUGCUGAGUAAUAUUCCAUUGAAUGAAUACAUAAAAAUGUAUUUAUCCUUUCAGCUCUUGAUGGACAUUUGGGUUGUUUCCAGUUGAGGAAUAUUACAAAUAAGCUGCUAUGAAUAUUUGUAUGUGAGUCUUUCGUUUCUCUUGGAUACCUUGGACUGGAAAGUGGAAAAGCUGCCAACCUGGAAACACCACUGGACACAGAACGACAACAACAAGAGUCUAAGAAAAGUUUUCCCUCUAGCCACAAGACUAGGAAAGGGGCAACCCUGACAAACCAAACACUUUUAGAUAAUUGACACUCUACUCUCACCACACAUUACAGAAAAAAAGUAGAGGCCCCAUCCAUACCCCCACCAGCAAAUAUAGAAUGCAGAGCACAGGUUUCCACACUUGCAUCUCAACCCUUCCUCCCCUACCAGAAUGCUGUCAGAGAGGGCCUACAGGAAGCCAGCCCUCCCCUCCCAUCAGUGUCAUUGGAGACCACGCAGGGCCCACAGGAAGCCAGCCCUCCCCUCCCAUCAGUGUCAGUGGAGACCACACAGGGCCCACAGGAAGCCAGCCCUCCCUUCCCAUCAGUGUCAGUGGAGACCACACAGGGAGCCUAGACUUCCAUCUUCACUCAGCUAGUGUUGAUAAGGCAACCCUCCGCCUCCCUGCUGGGGUGGUGGCAGAAGAAGCCUGGAUGAGAAUCAGAACUUUCACCACUGCUCAGUGGCAUUGAAGGCCACCACAUACGGCUUUAGUGGAUGCCACAUGAGCAGUGACAAGAUGCCCCACUCCUUCACAGGCAGCGGCACACGAGUGUAGCCCUGGUGGGAGCUGGCACUCUCACUAAUACCCCACAGUAAAGAGGAGCUACCCCCUCAGGUGUCAAUGGAGGUCAAGCAGUAAACCUGGGCAUUUACCCACUUGACAGUAAAAACGUACCCACUGGAACUUCUCCUUCCCCUGCCGGAGCAGUGUCAAAGAAAGCUAGUUAAAACAGAAAGUUUAAAUAAGAUCCAGAGUCUCCUAAUAUAAUCACCAAAAUGUCUAACUAUCAAUUUUAAAUGUAUAUAUUAUACGAAGAACAAGGAAUACUUCAACAGCAAAAUGAAGAGGAGAGGGGAAAGAAUCAGUGAACUUGAGAACAGAACAAGAGAAAUACCCAAACUGAACAACAGAGAGAAAAUAGAUUUCAAAUAAAUAAAUGAAUCUUCAGAGACAUGAGUAUAGGGAAAAAACAUAACAACGUCAAACAAUAGAAAGUAAAAAAUAAGAAAAAAAAUUGAAAGCAGCCAAAGAUAAAUGAUGCAUUAUAUUUAGGAAAAAACAAUUAGAAUGACAGCAAAUGUCAUGUCAGAAACCAUGGAGAUGAGGGGAAAGUGAUACAACAUGUUUCUAGCACAGACAAAAGAAUUGUCAAUCCAGAAUUCUGUAUCCAGUGAAAAUAUUCUUCUGAGUGAAGGGGAAAUCAUUCUUAUAUGAAGAAAAAUUAAGAGAAUUUGUUGUUAACAGAAGUUUUGAAAACAGAAGGAAAAUGAUAAAUGAGGAAUGUAGGAAAUCGACGAAGAAUAAAAAAAUAAAAAUACAAAUAUGAGUAAAUACAUUUUCUGAAUAACGUUUGAUCAUUAAAGCAAAACAUUGUAACAAUGUC